AUACUUACCUGGCAGGGAAGAUGGCAUGAUCACGAGGCCAUGAUCCCAGGGCGAGGCGCACCCAUUGCACUCCAGGUGUGCUGACCCUUGCAGUUUGCCCAAAUGUGGGAAACUCAACGGCAUAAUUUGGUAGUGGGGGACUGCAUUCGCGCUCUCCUCUG